rnacentral:tRNA from 1 species
GCGCCUUUAGCUCAGCUGGUAGAGCAACUGACUCUUAAUCAGUAGGUCCCGGGUUCGAACCCCUGAAGGCGCACCA